rnacentral:rRNA from 1 species
CCUACGGGAGGCUGUAGUGGGGAAUAUUGCACAAUGGGGGGAACCCUGAUGCAGCGACGCCGCGUGGGUGAAGGAGCACCUCGGUGCGUAAAGCCCUAUCGGCAGGGAAGAAAAGCGAACAGGUUCGCCUGGACGGUACCUGACUAAGAAGCCCCGGCUAACUACGUGCCAGCAGCCGCGGUAAUACGUAGGGGGCAAGCGUUAUCCGGAUUCACUGGGUGUAAAGGGAGCGUAGACGGCGGCGCAAGUCUGGAGUGAAAGCCCGGGGCCCAACCCCGGGACUGCUCUGGAAACUGCGGCGCUGGAGGACGGGAGGGGCAGGCGGAAUUCCUGGUGUAGCGGUGAAAUGCGUAGAUAUCAGGAGGAACACCGGCGGCGAAGGCGGCCUGCUGGACCGUGACUGACGUUGAGGCUCGAGAGCGUGGGGAGCAAACAGGAUUAGAUACCCGAGUAGUC